GCUAUGACUGGGGUGAAGUCGUAACAAGGUAGCCGUACCGGAAGGUGCGGCUGGAUCACCUCCUAA
rnacentral:rRNA from 1 species